GUUGUGAUUCGAAUGCCAUCGCUCAUUUACAGUGGAUUUACCGAAGGUGCGCGCUAACAGUCUGACCUCAGCUACAUACAGUGUAGUUUUCCUCAUUGGGCCUAAAAAAACCUUGUGGUUCCGGUUUCAUAUCGCGAAAAAAAUAGGGUAGGUAGGUGGGGAAAAAUGGUUUUGGCGGGUUUUUGCUGGGCGAUUUUCAGUAGAGUCCCGACAACAAUAUUAACUAGAGAUACGUAGUUCCUACGGACGAAUUUAGGCAAUUUGGUUCAAUAAUUAUUGUGACAACAGACGCCAUUUUGGCACGCUGUACGAGCAGCCCGCAACCACCCGGAGAAAAUAGGCCUAGGUCGCACGGACAAUCGUGUUAAAAAAAAUAAUAGGGUCGGCAGAAAAAAUAGGGUCGGUCGGGAACCGGAACCACAGGUAUAUUUUUGUAGGCCUUGGUAUAUCAUUGACAAUUAAGCCCAGGUCACACCACACAACGAUAACUUGUAAACACGCGAUGAUUGGUAAAAAAAUUAUGUUAGUGUUCACACUACAACGAAAACGAUCCCAAAAUAUGUCGGAUGCGUGGAAUUUACAUGCAUGUACAGCUAAAGUUCUUCACGGUUUUGAAUACUUUGGCAGGUUUGCUAGUUAUUGCUAGAAGGAAAAUGUAAGUACGCGAAUAGUAAAUUUCCGCGUACCUACGUGGUACUUGGCUAAAAACAAAGAAGUACCAGAC